rnacentral:rRNA from 1 species
UGAACGCUGGCGGUAUGCCUAACACAUGCAAGUCGAACGGCAGCACAGUAAGAGCUUGCUCUUACGGGUGGCGAGUGGCGGACGGGUGAGGAAUACAUCGGAAUCUACUUUUUCGUGGGGGAUAACGUAGGGAAACUUACUCUAAUACCGCAUACGACCUACGGGUGAAAGCAGGGGAUCUUCGGACCUUGCGCGAUUGAAUGAGCCGAUGUCGGAUUAGCUAGUUGGCGGGGUAAAGGCCCACCAAGGCGACGAUCCGUAGCUAGUCUGAGAGGAUGAUCAGCCACACUGGAACUGAGACACGGUCCAGACUCCUACGGGAGGCAGCAGUGGGGAAUAUUGGACAAUGGGCGCAAGCCUGAUCCAGCCAUACCGCGUGGGUGAAGAAGGCCUUCGGGUUGUAAAGCCCUUUUGUUGGGAAAGAAAAGCAGCAGGUUAAUACCCCGCUGUUCUGACGGUACCCAAAGAAUAAGCACCGGCUAACUUCGUG